rnacentral:lncRNA from 1 species
GGCCAGAGCCGCGGCAGAGGCAGAGGAGGGAGCUAGGAGCUUCUCACCUGGGGCGGGUGGGUUCUGCACCACCCUCCCACCCUCCUUCCUCCGUGUGGACGAUAGAGCCACAUCCAGCACCACGGACAGCUCCCGGGCGACCAAAAAGAAGAAUGUACUUCAUCUGGUUGGGCUGGAUUCCCUCUGAUAAGCCUUCCCAGUUGACUGAAAGAUGAGGCUAGGCUCUAGCAAGUUGAAGUCAAACCAGCUCCUUCAAGAAGCUUUGAGCAGAAUGAAGUGGGGAGGACCCAGCUUCCAGCCCAGGAAGCCCACUGUACCUGGAGCCAUCUGGGAUAAGACUUUGACCCAUGACUCCCAUAUCCACAGCCUGUCCAUCCUAGCCCAUCCCAGUUUAUCCUGUAUCAUUUGAGCUGGGAUUCCCACAUCCUCUGAGUUGGAAGUCCCAUCUCAAGUCUUCAAUAAAGACUCUUGAAUAUUGAAUCACA